rnacentral:rRNA from 1 species
GUGGGGAAUUUUGGACAAUGGGCGCAAGCCUGAUCCAGCAAUGCCGCGUGCAGGAAGAAGGCCUUCGGGUUGUAAACUGCUUUUGUACGGAACGAAACGGUCCUGGCUAAUACCCGGGGCUAAUGACGGUACCGUAAGAAUAAGCACCGGCUAACUACGUGCCAGCAGCCGCGGUAAUACGUAGGGUGCGAGCGUUAAUCGGAAUUACUGGGCGUAAAGCGUGCGCAGGCGGUGCUGUAAGACAGGCGUGAAAGCCCCGGGCUCAACCUGGGAAUUGCGCUUGUGACUGCAGUGCUGGAGUGCGGCAGAGGGGGAUGGAAUUCCGCGUGUAGCAGUGAAAUGCGUAGAUAUGCGGAGGAACACCGAUGGCGAAGGCAAUCCCCUGGGCCUGCACUGACGCUCAUGCACGAAAGCGUGGGGAGCAAACAGGAUUAGAUACCCGAGUAGUCC